UACGUAGGGUGCAAGCGUUGUCCGGAAUUAUUGGGCGUAAAGAGCUCGUAGGCGGUCUGUUGCGUCGGCUGUGAAAACCCGGGGCUCAACUCCGGGCCUGCAGCCGAUACGGGCAGACUAGAGUUCGGCAGGGGAGACUGGAAUCCCUGGUGUAGCGGUGAAAUGCGCAGAUAUCAGGAGGAACACCGGUGGCGAAGGCGGGUCUCUGGGCCGAUACUGACGCUGGGGAGCGAAAGCGUGGGGAGCGAACAGG
rnacentral:rRNA from 1 species